GGCUCCCUGUUCUCUAAAUAUAGGGAGUCGGACCUGCCCGGUGAAAAAUUUUAACGGCCGCGGUACUCUGACCGUGCAAAGGUAGCAUAAUCACUUGCCUUAUAAUUGAAGGCUGGUAUGAAUGGUUUGACGAAAGCACAACUGUCUCUUCCCCGUUUUAUAAAAAUUAACAUUUAGGUGAAGAGGCCUAGAUUGGAUUAAAGGACGAGAAGACCCUGUCGAGCUUUAGGGAAAAAAGGAAAAUCUUAUAUUUAUAGAUAUAUAGCCUUAUUUACCCUUUAGUUGGGGCGACUAGGGAACAAUAAAAGCUUCCCCUACUCAUUAAAUCGAUUUAUUAGGAUCCAGCACUAAAAUUGCUGAUCAAAAGAAUUAGUUACCGCAGGGAUAACAGCAUUAUCCUUCUUGAGAGACCAUAUCGAAAGAAGGGGUUGUGACCUCGAUGUUGGACUAGGAUGUCCUGAUGGUGCAGAAGCCCUCAAAGGUUGGUCUGUUCGACCAUUAAAAUCCUACG
rnacentral:rRNA from 1 species